GAUGAACGCUGGCGGCGUGCCUAAUACAUGCAAGUCGAGCGAACGGACGAGAAGCUUGCUUCUCUGAUGUUAGCGGCGGACGGGUGAGUAACACGUGGAUAACCUACCUAUAAGACUGGGAUAACUUCGGGAAACCGGAGCUAAUACCGGAUAAUAUUUUGAACCGCAUGGUUCAAAAGUGAAAGACGGUCUUGCUGUCACUUAUAGAUGGAUCCGCGCUGCAUUAGCUAGUUGGUAAGGUAACGGCUUACCAAGGCAACGAUGCAUAGCCGACCUGAGAGGGUGAUCGGCCACAUUGGAACUGAGCCACGGUCCAGACUCCUACGGGAGGCAGCAGUAGGGAAUCUUCCGCAAUGGGCGAAAGCCUGACGGAGCAACGCCGCGUGAGUGAUGAAGGUCUUCGGAUCGUAAAACUCUGUUAUUAGGGAAGAACAUAUGUGUAAGUAACUGUGCACAUCGUGACGGUACCUAAUCAGAAAGCCACGGCUAACUACGUG
rnacentral:rRNA from 1 species